UACGUAGGGGGCAAGCGUUGUCCGGAUUUAUUGGGCGUAAAGAGCGUGUAGGCGGUUUGGUAGGUCCGCUGUGAAAACGUCGAGGCUCAACCUCGAGACGCCGGUGGAAACCAUCAGACUAGAGUCCGGAAGAGGAGAGUGGAAGUUCCUGGUGUAGCGGUGAAAUGCGCAGAUAUCAGGAAGAACACCCGUGGCUAAGGCGGCUCUCUAGUACGGUACUGACGCUGAGACGCGAAAGCGUGGGGAGCGAACAGG
rnacentral:rRNA from 1 species